ensembl:misc_RNA Metazoa_SRP Metazoan signal recognition particle RNA
GCCAGGCAUGGUGGCGCGUGCCUAAAGUCCCAGCUACUCCGGAGGCUGAGGUGGGAAGAUCGCUUGAGCCCAGGAGUUCCGAGCUGUAGUGCGCUAUGCCACACUAAGUUCAGCAUCAAUACGGUGACCUCCUGGGAGCAGGGGACCACCAGGUUUCUUAAGGAGGGGUGAACUGGCCCAGGUCAGUAACAGCAGAUCAAAACUCCCGUGCUGAUCAGUAGUGGGAUCAUGCCUGUGAAUAGUCACUGCACUCCAGCCUGGGCAACAUAGCAAGAUGCUGUCUCUA